AGGAAAUUGUUGCCAGAGGGAAGACCACAAAGAGGAAUAAUUUCUGGGUUUUGAUUCUCUCUCUUAGAUCACAAUGCCAUGAGUAAAUUUUGGUGGUGGAUGAAGGAUGUUCCACCAAAGUCAUUAUUUCUGGAAGGAUGAUAUCAAAGAGGAAUUCAAAGCAAGUUGUUUCAUGUAAACUGCUUUCUGGACUGUCUUGGCUUGCUUCACUCUGAGCCAUCCCACAGCUAUUCAAGCACUGGUGCAUCGUAUCCCUGAACAGGCUGACAUGCUGUGAUGCUGUGGGAUAACAAUGCAAAAUGCCUGCACGAUUAGAAGCUGGCUUGUUGCCAAGUGCAGGUCCAUGAUGUUUGUACAGAUUCAAGGCGUGGGAUUUCCAGAUGGGAGUGCAGUGGUGGAGCAGCACUCCAUGGAUGGGAUAAGUGCCCUCAUUAUUCACAAUCUGGACAGGAUAAACGCCUUCAUUAUUCAUAUGUGGGCCCAUAGUAUAUUGAAGAAAACAUGUAUCUUUACUGUUUACUCAGCCACAGUGCAGCACUUUAUCAAGUUUAAUGUCACUGAAUUAAAUAUGCAACCCUAUAACCAUUUAAACUUUUUUCAGGUUGCUUAUAUUAUAUUGGUGGGUGAAAAUAGAGUGACCUAUUAUAUUACCAAGGCAAAGGUCAUGUCAGUGUGGGAUUUAGGUCUUUUGGUGUGUGUGUUUGUUGGUGGUGAAUCAGAUAUGAUCAGAUUAAAUUACUCUUGAACAUAACCAAAUGUUUAAAGAAACUGCCGUGCCAUACAUUUGAUUAUUUUUUAUUUUAAUCAUGUUCUAAUCUGAAGGCCAAAAUUGAAGUAAUACAAAUGAAACUACACCUUUUGAAUUUAAGAUACACUAGAAAAGCAAAAUACAAAUAUUUUGAAAGGUUGUAAGAGGUGAAGGACAUUUAUUUUUUU